rnacentral:lncRNA from 1 species
GUACGCCACUUUGGCUUGCAAAUGAUCACUUUUGCUAUUUUCGAGGCCAAACUGGAAUGCUGGAGUUCUAAAUUCUGCGUAUCCCUUCUUGCAUGUGUCUUGUUGUCGACUUGCGCCAUCUUUCCCUGUGUUUCAGGCCUCACAAGAUUAAAACUUGGUAAGAAAGUAGACACGGAAGUGUGUCUCUGUCCAGUUCCACCUAAACUGUGCUGGCAGAAACUUUGGCUCCUGCUGCUUAGCUCCUUCAGCGACCUGCGAGUCUGUCUCACGAAAAGAUACCGACCGCCAUCUUGAAUUUCUAAGCACUAAACACGAAGAGAUGUGAGUUUCUCAAAAGAUGCUUCAGACCCUCUGAGCCCCUUUGUCUGCGUGGAACGGGUCUCUAGUCGCGGGUGGACAAAGCGUAGGAUGAGUGACAAACAGACGCACACAGGAGAGGUCGAGGAAUCUGAAUGUCAUUUUUCAAAUCGAGCAUCAGACUUUUUAUGCAGAAGACAAUAAGGAAGUUGGAUGACAUACCUGCAAGCUUUCCCAGAUAUCUCUGAAGAUACCAUUUUGAAUAGGACUCACAUCACUCACUGCCUUGGUAGGGUCAUCUUUGUUCCACAAGAGGAAAACUGUCCACGAGAGGGUGGAGAUCACUCUGGCCAUGCAUAAUCAGAUUAACAUCAACGGUCCUUUACUCUGAAGAAGCCAUGGAGACCCCUCUUGCUGAUUAAGCCAGCUCAGGCUCCUGUGGAUGCUAUGGCCCUGGGCACUGAGCCCAGCAUCUGAACUUGUUCCUGGACCAGAGGUUCGAGAUGUCCACUUCUGAGGCCAUUUACUUCUUUGUGGGCCACCAGCUGUU